rnacentral:rRNA from 1 species
UUGCAGGCCUAACACAUGCAAGUUGAGCGGAUGAAGAGAGCUUGCUCUCUGAUUCAGCGGCGGACGGGUGAGUAAUGCCUAGGAAUCUGCCUGGUAGUGGGGGACAACGUCUCGAAAGGGACGCUAAUACCGCAUACUGUCCUACGGGAGAAAGCAGGGGACCUUCGGGCCUUGCGCUAUCAGAUGAGCCUAGGUCGGAUUAGCUAGUUGGUGGGGUAAUGGCUCACCAAGGCGACGAUCCGUAUACUGUGUCUGUAGAGGAUGUAUCUAGUCACACUGGAACUGAGACACGGUCCAGACUCCUACGGGGAGGCAGCAGUGGGGGAAUAUUGGACAAUGGGCGAAAGCCUGGAUCCAGCCAUGCCGCGUGUGUGAAGAAGGUCUUCGGAUUGUAAAGCACUUUAAGUUGGGAGGAAGGGCAGUAAAUUAAUACUUUGCUGUUUUGACGUUACCGACAGAAUAAGCACCGGCUAACUCUGUGCCAGCAGCCGCGGUAAU